UCCCUGAUGGUCUAGUGGCUAGGAUUCGGCCCUCUCACCACUGCGACCUGGGUUCGAUUCCCGGUCAGGGAA
rnacentral:tRNA from 1 species